UUUCGCAAUGCCCGAAAGGGUGACGAAGCGACGCCGCGUGUGGGAAGAAGGCCUUCGGGUUGUAAACCACUGUCGGGAGUUAGGAAAUGUAAGGGUGCCAAUAGUAUCCUUACUUGACUAAGGCUCCGGAGGAAGCCACGGCUAACUCUGUGCCAGCAGCCGCGGUAAUACAGAGGCGGCAAGCGUCGUUCGGAAUUAUUGGGCGUAAAGAGCACGUAGGCGGCCUUGUAAGUCAGUUGUGAAAGCCUUCUGCUUAACGGAAGAACAGCAGCUGAUACUGCAAGGCUAGAGUGCGGAAGGGGAGAGUGGAACUUCUGGUGGAGCGGUGAAAUGCGUAGAUAUCAGAAGGAACACCGGCGGCGAAGGCGACUCUCUGGUCCGUAACUGACGCUGAGUGUGCGAAAGCUAGGGGAGCAAACGGGAUUAGAUACCCCGGUAGUCCUAGCCGUAAACGAUGGGCACUAAGUAGAGGGGUUUUA
rnacentral:rRNA from 1 species